GUUCGUAUAGCGCAAUGGAAAGCGCGUUGGACGUCUAAUCCAAAGGUCGUGGAUUCGAAUACCACCUGGGAUG